GUGGGGAAUUUUGGACAAUGGGGGCAACCCUGAUCCAGCCAUGCCGCGUGCGGGAAGAAGGCCUUCGGGUUGUAAACCGCUUUUGUCAGGGAAGAAAUCCUUUGGGUUAAUACCUCGGAGGGAUGACGGUACCUGAAGAAUAAGCACCGGCUAACUACGUGCCAGCAGCCGCGGUAAUACGUAGGGUGCGAGCGUUAAUCGGAAUUACUGGGCGUAAAGCGUGCGCAGGCGGUUUUGUAAGAUCGAUGUGAAAUCCCCGGGCUCAACCUGGGAACUGCAUUGGUGACUGCAAGGCUGGAGUGCGGCGGAGGGGGAUGGAAUUCCGCGUGUAGCAGUGAAAUGCGUAGAGAUCGGGAGGAACACCAAAGGCGAAAGCACUCUGCUGGGCCACAACUGACACUGAGAGACGAAAGCGAGGGGAGCAAAAGGGAUUAGAAACCCUAGUAGUCC
rnacentral:rRNA from 1 species